CACUUGAUGGAUCACAUGAAUGUGUCAUGGUUGCGGGCUCCCAUGUACAGCCCAUGACAAAAGAAUGAACAAAUUUAGACUGUGAAACUGCGAAUGGCUCAUUAAAUCUAUUUGCUACUCAGAUAACAGUAGUAAUUCUAGAGCUAAUACGUGCAACAAACCUUGACUUUUAGAAGGGAUGCAUUUAUUAGAUAAAAGGUCGACGCGGGCUUUGCCCGUUGCUCUAAUGAUUCAUGAUAACUCAACGGAUCAUACGACUUUUGUGCCAAUGACUCAUAAUUCAAAUUUCUGCCCUAUAAAAUUUUGAUGGUAGGAUAGUGGCCUAUUGUGGUGGUGACGGGUGAUGGAGAAUUAGGGUUUGAUUCUAGAGAGGGAGCUUGAGAAAUGGCUACCACAUCCAAAGAAGGCAACAGGUGUACAAAUUACCCAAUCCUGACACGGGGAGGUAGUGACAAUAAAUAACAAUACCGGGUUCUAUGAGUUUGGUAAUUGGAAUGAGUACAAUCUAAAUCCCUUAGCGAGGAUCCAUUGGAGGGCAAGUCUGGUGCUAGAAACCGCAGUAAGUCCAGCUCCAAUAACGUAUAUUUAUGUUGUUGCAGUUAAAAAACUCAUAGUUAGACUUAGGGGUGGAUCGAUCGAUCUGCCUCACGAUGAGUACCGGUCUACUCGUCCCUACUACCGGUGAUGUGCUCCUGGCCUUAAUUGGCCAGGUCAUUCCUCCAAUGCUAUUACUUUGAAGAAAUUAGAGUGCUGAAAUCAGGCCUACGCUUGUAUACAUUAGCAUAGGAUAACAUCAUAGGAUUUCGAUCCUAUUGUGUUGGCCUUUGGGAUCGAAGUAAUGAUUAACAAGGACAGUCAGAGGCAUUCGUAUUUCAUAGUCAGAGGUGAAAUUCUUGGAUUUAUGAAAUACGAACAACUGCGAAGCAUUUGCCAAUGAUGUUUUCAUUAAUCAAGAACAAAAGUUUGGGGCUCGUAGAGGGACUAUGGACUUUUAGGUAAAGGAAGUUUGAGGCACUAACAGGUCUGUGAUGCCCUUAGAUGUUCUGGGCACACACGCGCUACACUGAUUUAUUCAACGAGUCUAUAACCUUGGCUGAAAGGCCUGGGUAAUCUUUGAAAUUUCAUCAUGAUGGGGAUAGAUCAUUGUAAUUGUUGGUCUUCAACGAGGAAUUCUUAGUAAGAGUGAGUAAUCAACUCGCGUUGGCUACGUCCUUGCCCUUUGUACACACCGCCCGUCGCUCUUACCGAUUGAAUGGUUCGGUGAAGUGUUCAGAUCACGACGAUGUGGGUGGUUCACUGCCCGCGACAUCACGAGAAGUUCACUAAACCUUAUCAUUUAGAGGAAGGAGAAGUCGUAACAAGGUUUCCGUAGGUGAACUUGCGCGGAAGGAUCAUUG
rfam:Gossypium raimondii Chr09_contig_1012, whole genome shotgun sequence.